UACAGAGGUCCCGAGCGUUGUUCGGAUUCACUGGGCGUAAAGGGUGCGUAGGUGGCUUGAAAAGUUUGAUGUGAAAGCUCAGGGCUUAACCCUGAAAUGGCAUUGAAAACUGUCGGGCUGGAGGUUUGGAGGGGGGACUGGAAUUCUUGGUGUAGCAGUGAAAUGCGUAGAUAUCGUGAGGAAGACCAGUGGCGAAGGCGGAUCUCUGGACAGCUCCUGACGCUGAGGCGCGAAGGCUAGGGGAGCAAACGGG
rnacentral:rRNA from 1 species